rnacentral:lncRNA from 1 species
GAAGUUUCGAAAUAAGGUCUCACCUGCAGACUUGUGAAGCCAGCAGAAAUGCACUGCAGGAAGGAUUCCAGUUUUAGAGUGCCUGAACCACCAGUGGAUGUUCCAGAGAAGCUCUUUGUCCUGAGUGCAGCAGUGAGCAGAGAGGGACUGAGUCAUGUGGACCAUGGGCAGGCUCCUGGGACCUGCUUGAAUCCUGAGCAUGGCAACCCUUUGAAACAAGUCCUUCAAAGAUCCUUCCUGCUCACAAUUCACCAGUGGAAAAAUGUUCUAAACCAGCUCUGGAUCAUUUGGUCAUCCCACAUAUAUGGUGGCUAAGGCUCCAGCUCCAAAUUCCUCAUCUCUCAAGGAUAAAAGUGUGAGAGCCAAAAGAAAGAUGAUCAUCAG